GAUGAACGCUGGCGGCGUGCCUAAUACAUGCAAGUCGAGCGAACGGACGAGAAGCUUGCUUCUCUGAUGUUAGCGGCGGACGUGUGAGUAACACGUGGAUAACCUACCUAUAAGACUGUGAUAACUUCGGGAAACCGUAGCUAAUACCUGCUAAUAUUUUGAACCGCAUGGUUCAAAAGUGACAGACGGUCUUGCUGUCACUUAUAGAUGGAUCCGCGCUGCAUUAGCUAGUUGGUAAGGUAACGGCUUACCAAGGCAACGAUGCAUAGCCGACCUGAGAGGGUGAUCGGCCACACUGGAACUGAGACACGGUCCAGACUCCUACGGGAGGCAGCAGUAGGGAAUCUUCCGCAAUGGGCGAAAGCCUGACGGAGCAACGCCGCGUGAGUGAUGAAGGUCUUCGGAUCGUAAAACUCUGUUAUUAGGGAAGAACAUAUGUGUAAGUAACUGUGCACAUCUUGACGGUACCUAAUCAGAAAGCCACGGCUAACUACGUG
rnacentral:rRNA from 1 species